GACGAACCGUGCGAACGUUGUUCGGAUUCACUGGGCUUAAAGGGCGCGUAGGCGGCAAUGCAAGUCCGGGGUGAAAGCUUUCGGCUUAACCGGAAAAGGGCCUUGGAUACUGCAUUGCUGGAGGGAGGUAGGGGCAUGUGGAACUUCCGGUGGAGCGGUGAAAUGCGUAGAUAUCGGAAGGAACGCCGGUGGCGAAAGCGACGUGCUGGACCUCUUCUGACGCUGAGGCGCGAAAGCCAGGGGAGCAAACGGG
rnacentral:rRNA from 1 species